GCCAGGCGCGGUGGCGCAUGCCUGUAGCCCAACUACUCAGGAGGCUGAGGCUGGAGGAUCUCUUGAGUCCAGGAGUUCUGGGCUGUAGUGCGCUAUGCUGAUUGGGUGUCCACACUAAGUUCGGCAUCGAUAUGGUGACCUCCUGGGAGUGGGGGACCACCAGGUUGCCUAAGGAGGGGUGAACCAGCCCAGGUUGGAAACGGAGCAGGUCAAAACUCCCUUGCUGAUCAGUAGUGGGAUAGCAUCUGUGAAUAGCCACUGCACUCCAGCCUGGGCAACAUAGCAAGACCCCUUCUCUA
rnacentral:SRP_RNA from 1 species